rnacentral:rRNA from 1 species
AACACGUGGGCAAUCUGCCCUUCACUCUGGGACAAGCCCUGGAAACGGGGUCUAAUACCGGAUAACACUGCGGAUCGCAUGGUCUGCGGUUGAAAGCUCCGGCGGUGAAGGAUGAGCCCGCGGCCUAUCAGCUUGUUGGUGGGGUGAUGGCCUACCAAGGCGACGACGGGUAGCCGGCCUGAGAGGGCGACCGGCCACACUGGGACUGAGACACGGCCCAGACUCCUACGGGAGGCAGCAGUGGGGAAUAUUGCACAAUGGGCGAAAGCCUGAUGCAGCGACGCCGCGUGAGGGAUGACGGCCUUCGGGUUGUAAACCUCUUUCAGCAGGGAAGAAGCGAAAGUGACGGUACCUGCAGAAGAAGCGCCGGCUAACUACGUGCCAGCAGCCGCGGUAAUACGUAGGGCGCAAGCGUUGUCCGGAAUUAUUGGGCGUAAAGAGCUCGUAGGCGGCUUGUCGCGUCGGAUGUGAAAGCCCGGGGCUUAACCCCGGGUCUGCAUUCGAUACGGGCAGGCUAGAGUGUGGUAGGGGAGAUCGGAAUUCCUGGUGUAGCGGUGAAAUGCGCAGAUAUCAGGAGGAACACCGGUGGCGAAGGCGGAUCUCUGGGCCAUUACUGACGCUGAGGAGCGAAAGCGUGGGGAGCGAACAGGAUUAGAUACCCUGGUAGUCCACGCCGUAAACGUUGGGAACUAGGUGUUGGCGACAUUCCACGUCGUCNGNGCCGCAGCUAACGCAUUAAGUUCCCCGCCUGGGGAGUACGGCCGCAAGGCUAAAACUCAAAUGA